rnacentral:rRNA from 1 species
CCUACGGGUGGCAGCAGUGGGGAAUAUUGGGCAAUGGAGGCAACUCUGACCCAGCAACGCCGCGUGAAUGAUGAAGGUCUUCGGAUUGUAAAGUUCUUUUCUAAGGGAAGAAGAAAGUGACGGUACCUUAGGAAUAAGCCUCGGCUAACUACGUGCCAGCAGCCGCGGUAAUACGUAGGAGGCAAGCGUUAUCCGGAAUGACUGGUGGUAAAGGGGGGGUAGGUGGUUUGACAAGUUAGUAGCGAAACUCCGGAGCUCAACUUCGGAACUACUACUAAAACUGUUGGACUUGAGUGCAGGAGAGGCAAUCGGAAUUCCUAGUGUAGCGGUGGAAUGCGUAGAUAUAUGGAAGAACACCAGUGGCGAAAGCGGCUUUCUGGUCUGUAACUGACGCUGAGGUUCGAAAGCGUGGGUAGCAAACAGGAUUAGAUACCCCUGUAGUC